GACAUCAUAGAUCUUGAGGAUGAGACAAUAGAUACAAAGAUAUUGAACUCGAUGGCUGUUACAAAUGACCAUUUCAAGACUGCGCUUGGAACAAGCAACCCAUCUGCUCUCCGUGAAACUGUUGUUGAAGUCCCAAAUGUCUCUUGGGAGGA